rnacentral:rRNA from 1 species
ACGGGAGGCAGCAGUGGGGAAUAUUGCACAAUGGGCGGAAGCCUGAUGCAGCGAUGCCGCGUGAGGGAAGAAGGUUUUCGGAUUGUAAACUUCUGUCUUCAGGGACGAUAAUGACGGUACCUGAGGAGGAAGCUCCGGCUAACUACGUGCCAGCAGCCGCGGUAAUACGUAGGGAGCGAGCGUUGUCCGGAAUUACUGGGUGUAAAGGGUGCGUAGGCGGGACGGCAAGUCAGAUGUGAAAUGUCUGGGCUUAACCCAUGACCUGCAUUUGAAACUGUUGUUCUUGAGUGAGGUAGAGGUAAGCGGAAUUCCUAGUGUAGCGGUGAAAUGCGUAGAUAUUAGGAGGAACAUCGGUGGCGAAGGCGGCUUACUGGACUGAAACUGACGCUGAGGCUCGAAAGCGUGGGGAGCAAACAGGAUUAGAUACCCUGGUA